GAAAUUCCAAUCGAACUCGGAGAUAGCUGGUUCUCCCCGAAAUAGCUUUAGGGCUAGCGUUAUUUUAGAUUACCGGAGGUAAAGCACUGAAUGGUCUAGGGGCCGCGAGGUUACCAAAGCCUAUCAAACUCUGAAUGCCGGAUAAUUGAUGAAUAGCAGUCAGACUGUGUGAGAUAAGUCUCAUAGUCAAAAGGGAAACAGCCCAGAUCUACAGCUAAGGUCCCAAAUGAACACUAAGUGGAAAAUGAUGUGAAACUGCGAAGACAACCAGGAUGUUGGCUUAGAAGCAGCCACUCAUUCAAAGAGUGCGUAAUAGCUCACUGGUCGAGUGGUUUUGCGCAGAAAAUGUAACGGGGCUAAGUGUUCAACCGAAGCUUAGGCAUUGCAGUAAUGCAUUGGGUAGGGGAGCGUCGUAUGCGGGGCGAAGUCAGAGCGGAAGCACUGGUGGACUGCAUACGAGUGAGAAUGCCGGAAUAAGUAGCGAGAAUUAUGUGAGAAUCAUAAUGGCCGAAAAUCUAAGGUUUCUUGGGGAAGGUUCGUCCGCCCAAGGUUAGUCGGGAGCUAAGCUCAGGCCGAAAGGCGUAGGCGAUGCACAUACGGUAGAAAUUCCGUAACCACCGAACAUUUAAGCUAGAGGGACGCUUUCUUUAAGGUUAUCCCGGGCGAUGGUUGCCCCGGGCGUAAGGGACCGAAAUAUAGUAGGGAAGUAACUGGCGAGAGAGACGAGAAAAGCUCUAGUGUAUACUAAGGUGCCCGUACCGCAAACCGACACAGGUAGAUGGGAUGAGUAUUCUAAGGCCAACGGGAGAAGGGUUGUUAAGGAACUCGGCAAAUUGGCCCCGUAACUUCGGGAUAAGGGGCGCCUGCGAGAGCAGGCCGCAGUGAAAAGGCCCAAGCGACUGUUUAGCAAAAACACAGCUCUCUGCUAAAUCGAAAGAUGACGUAUAGGGGGUGACGCCUGCCCGGUGCUGGAAGGUUAAGGGGAGUGCUUAGCGCAAGCGAAGGUGCGAACUUAAGCCCCAGUAAACGGCGGCCGUAACUAUAACGGUCCUAAGGUAGCGAAAUUCCUUGUCAGGUAAGUUCUGACCCGCACGAAUGGCGUAACGAUUUGGGCACUGUCUCAACAGCCCGCCCGGCGAAAUUGUAGUACCGGUGAAGAUGCCGGUUUCCCGCAACUAGACGGAAAGACCCCAUGGAGCUUCACUGUAGCUUGAUAUUGGAUCUCGGUAUUCCAUGUACAGGAUAGGUGGGAGGCUAGGAAGCGAGCGCGCCAGCGUUCGUGGAGCCAACCUUGGGAUACCACUCUUGGGAUAUUGGGAUUCUAACCUGCGACCAUGAAUCUGGUCGGGGGACACUGUCAGGUGGGCAGUUUGACUGGGGCGGUCGCCUCCAAAAGAGUAACGGAGGCGCUCAAAGGUUCGUUCAGCACGGAUGGAAAUCGUGCACUGAGUGUAAACGCAUAAACGAGCCUAACUGCGAGAAUGACGGUUCGAGCAGUAACGAAAGUUGGAGUUAGUGAUCCGGCGGUAUGUGAAUGGAAAUGCCGUCGCUCAACGGAUAAAAGCUACCCUGGGGAUAACAGGCUGAUCUCCCCCAAGAGU
rnacentral:rRNA from 1 species